UCUCUGUCAAGACAUUGUUUUGUGAAUACGAUUGAUAGGGUUAUGUGACGUGAGUAGUUGCUCCGAUGAUCGAUUAUGUUUCUUAUUGUAUGUUUUUUUUGGUAGCUUGAGCCAGUAGAAUCUUUGUAUUUCGUAUCUUCUUUGGUGUGUUUUUCUUUCUGCUUGUCUAUGUUUGUGUUUCUGACCUUACAAGUAUUUUAUUUUUUCCGCUAUAGUUGCAAUUUCGUCAUUGUGUGUACAACUGCUACGAUCUCCAACCUUGUUCAGAGGGCGGCUGAGUAUGCCAAAAAGAAAGAGAGAGGUAAAGGUAAAAGCGGCUCGGGAAGCAGCAACUCAAGAGUUUCACUUUUAAUAGGGAAGUUCGGGAGGCAGUUCCUGAAACGAUUCCUGCCGUGGUCCCUCCUUAUGAGGCCGCGAGGCCUAGUUCUUCGUUGCAGACCGUCUUGGGGAUGUUGGGACUGUUGAGCUCGUUGUGACAGACGCAGCUUUGAUGCCACCUCUGCCUCCUCUAACCCUUGUUGUUUCAAGGGAUUUGUUUGUCGAUGUUUGUGGCAACAGAGGUCAGUUUGAAAGCGACUCGCCGUCCUAUAGAUGAAAAAGAUCAGAGAUAUUACUCAGCUCGGAGAUUUUUGAUGGAUUUUCCUGCAAAUGCGCCGGCUAAUUCUGAUAAGGGGUGUCAGUUGAUUUCGGAAACAGACUCUACGAAGCCUGCUGCUCCUAGUUCCGGAAAUGGAGAUCUCGUUGUCUUGAAAAGGCUUAGGUGGACGAUGGUCUGAGCUCCCGAGCUUUUGCGUCAACCUCUACUUAAAGGGUCGAGUUUUCGGACAACACUCUUGCUGAGGAUAGGAAGGUUUUGUUGGGCUUGUGAAAUCUCAUCUCCAAUUCUAUAUUAUCCGAUUAGUACGAUAUUGUCCACUUUGGGCUUAAUAGGCUAGCCCGCAUGGUUUUACUUUCGGACUCCCUCCCAAAAGGUUGCGUACUAAUUAGAGUUAUAUAUUAGACACUCCUUGUCUAAUUCUCCAAUGUGAGACUUAAUUUGAUAUUUCACAUUAUCCCAUCAAACUAAGAAUCACAUUCAUCUUGUGUCCCACAACUGACUUCUAGAAUCUUCUGACAUGAUCUCUGCCACACACACACCUCUUAUUCCUAACUCAUAGGAUAUACCAUUCUAUCUCUCGAAAAGAAUUUAGAUCUUCUUGCAGAUUUCUCGUCAACCGUUCUGAUGCCAAUUGUUGGGCUUGUGAAAUAUCAUCUUCAACUCUAUAUUAUCCAAUUAGUACGAUAUUGUCCAUUUGGGCUUAAUAUACUGAUCCGCAUGGUUUUACUUUUAGACUCAUUCCCAAAGAGUCUCGUACUCAUUUCUUCAAUGUGAGAUUUAGUUUGAUAUUUUCCAGGCGAUCCGUCUAGCUGGUGAUCUUAGUUUUCCAGAGCAUAUGUUUUUUGGGAAUGACAUUUACAAAAGUGUCUACCGAUAUGAUGUUUUGCACAUGGGCUGGGUGAUUCUCAACCGGCCAUUCUACACGUACAAGAUCGGAGAGGUUCGAGUUAAGGUCGCCAUUGCUGAGAAAGAAGUUCUUUGAUGUAAAGAUGCAUUGAAGGCGGAGCAAGCCAAGAACCAGUAAGUGCUCGUGCUAGGAAUUUGUUAAGUUAUUUUGUGCAUUGCGCUCUCUCAACUGCUCAAUCUGUAUUUGUAUUGGAUCUAUCACCUGCUUCUUUUACCAAUUCGAAAGUCAUUGGAUGUGUUUUUCCUGCAAGUUUUGGCCACUGAUAGAACUGGUAUUUUUAUAUCUUUGUCCGUUUCAGAACAGAGGAUGUUGUAGUUGAUAUGUUGUGCUAAAUCAUAAAUAACUUAACAUGUUACAGAA